ACACGUGUUUCCGUUUCAACGAAAACAACAACACAACAAACGCUUGUAUUGUAUUUUACAUCUUGAAAAGGACCUGAUGUCAGAUGAAGAAGUCUGAAGAUACCUUGGAUAUCCUGUUGCAGGAUGACCCAAACGAUCAUGCAUUCAGUAUAAACAUGUUAUUGACAUCCCAAUAUUUAGUGGGAAGCUUCCAGGUAUCUUCCACUAGUGACAGUCUACUGGCAAAUCCAGACAUGCAUUGGAAGUAUGUUGAUGUGGAGGACACAGGGACACCUGAUCCAAGAACUGUGGCAUUUCAUUCGGAGUGACAACCUGGCAUGCAGUUGAUAUGGGACCUGAUUAUUCAGAGAAUUGCAGAUUUUAUGAAGCUGUUUUUGACAGAAGAUUUGGUUUUCUCCAUCUGUGUUGCCACCAACCAUUAUGCUGCGAUGGUCAUAUCUAGGGGGAAGGGUUGUCAUAUGCUUCCCAAGGAAGUUCGAAGCCUCUCACUGAAGAGGAACUGUACAGAUUUUUGGGCAUUAUCUUAUACAUGUCUGCUGAGAAGUUCCAGUCGAUAGACAGAUAUUGGUCAACGCAUGCCCCUAUCGGAACAACCUAGUAUCAAGAAUUAUGUCUAGAAAUGUUUUAAGAGGUUGAAUAUAAGAAGAACAAUUUUUAUUAAAUAUAAUGCAAGUACAUUUAAAUUUAGUGAUUGAAAGUAAGUACUUGAACAUUCGUAUACAUGUACAAUGAACUUGGGGAGGAAAAACGGGCAUUAUUUUCGCAUAGCAUUUGAUAUCAUAAUGGUGUUGUUGCUUAGCAACCAAAUAUAUUUGAAUAUAAAAAAAUUGAUUUUUUUUUUAGAUUUUAACAGGAAAGAUCUUUGUUUUAAUGUUGCAAUAUUUAUACUAUUUAGUGGAAUACAAUGGCAAAACGUCAUAUUAUUAGAAAAUGAUGAAUAUGUAUAUGAAGUACGAAAUUUUCAUUUUAUGACCUUUGACCUUAAUUCUCUUCAUUAUAUUUUUUGUUAAAAACCUUUUAAAAUGAUUGAGAUCUAGUCAAAGAUUAUAUUUUUAAAAUAAUGUGACAUUUACUAAUCAUCAUGCAAUGUAACUAUGUUUAAAUUGUGUCGAAUGGAUGUAGAAAGGCAAAUUAUGGUCAAAAUUACACCAUGAGUGUUGUUACUUAGCAACCAAAAAUAUUUGUUUGUCAAUAAAAUUGAUUAAUUUGAUUGUGA